AACACCCCUAACAUGUGUCUCUGGCUGUACUGUGCUCAAAGGGCUUUCUCCUGCAUUAUCUGGUGUAACCCUUCUAUGACCCUUGGGAAGUCAGGGAAAGAACAAAGUGCUCUGGCUUGUGUGAACUUCCAGUACUCUCGAAAGCUGAUUUUCUCAUUAUAAAUGAAUAAAUUGGCGUUCUGGUUAUAACUUGGCUUCUCCAGUAAUUUGCCUCCAGGGAGAGAAUGGACUGAUCUCCGUACUAGAGUGUUCUGUCUGCUUGCCAGCUUAACUUCGCUUUGUAAGCGAAUAAAUGGGCCUCCUGUAGUUAUAUAUCGGCCUCUCAGGGGUGCCUGGUUAAUGCCUGGUUUCCUGGGGAAGAAGGACCAGGUGAGAAGUGCCAACAAACAGGUCUCCUGGCCUGCAGGAGAGCAGGCUCCUCAAGUGGAGAAAUCAUCAAGGCAAUGAAUGCGGUCUCCUGGGGUCUCUUGGGAGAGAGCUGGUGUCUGAACCACAGUGACACGUGGCCUUAACACGAGGAACUGAACCUUCAUGCCCCAAAGGAAGCAAGUUUGGAUCCUUUAACCCCUAAGCAGGUUAUUCCAGCUCAGUGAGAAGAAUCCCUACUUUAUUCCCAUUGGCAUGAGACGAAGAGGUUCUUGGAAGCAAAACUUUGCCAUGUCGCUCCUUCCUUUAAAAUCCCUUGACAGCCUCUUAUUACUUGGAGUAUAAAGUCCAAACUCCUUGGCAAGACUUGCCUUUGUGA
rnacentral:lncRNA from 1 species